AUGUGAAAGCAUGCGACUCUUCGGAGGCGUUACACAGGUGCUGCAUGGCCGUCGUCAGCUCGUGUCGUGAGAUGUUUGGUUAAGUCCAGCAACGAGCGCAACCCCUGUUGCCAGUUACCAGCACGUGAAGGUGGGGACUCUGGCGAGACUGCCCAGAUCAACUGGGAGGAAGGUGGGGACGACGUCAGGUCAGUAUGGCCCUUAUGCCCAGGGCUGCACACGUACUACAAUGCCCAGUACAGAGGGGGCCGAAGCCGCGAGGCGGAGGAAAUCCUAAAAACUGGGCCCAGUUCGGACUGUAGGCUGCAACCCGCCUACACGAAGCCGGAAUCGCUAGUAAUGGCGCAUCAGCUACGGCGCCGUGAAUACGUUCCCGGGUCUUGUACACACCGCCCGUCACAUCAUGGAAGCCGGUCGCACCCGAAGUAUCUGAAGCCAACCGCAAGGAGGCAGGGUCCUAAGGUGAGACUGGUAACUGGGAUGAAGUCGUAACAAGGUAGCCGUAGGGGAACCUGCGGC
rnacentral:rRNA from 1 species